UUUUUUUUUUUUUUUUUAAGAUUUAUUUAUUUAGUAUAUGUAAGUAUGCUGUAGCUGUCUUCAGACACUCCAGAAGAGGGUGCCAGAUCUCGUUACAGAUGGUUGUGAGCCACCAUGUGGUUGCUGGGAAUUGAACUCAGGACCUUUGGAAGAGCAGUCAGUGCUCUUAACCGCUGAGCCAUCUCUCCUUUGUUUUGUUGUCUUAAGAUAUAGUCUCGCUCUGUUGAGUGCUGGGAUCACAGGUGUGCACCAGCAUCCUACCAUCAAGUUGUGACUUUGUUUUUGUUAGUGAGUUAGCGUAUUUUGAAUUUAAAUAUUUGAAAAUUGAAAGAAGUCAUACUUUAAUGGCAAGGGUUAUUUUAAAUAUUAAGCUGCUGAAAUUUCUGUUAAGUUAGCUAACUAAUAACAGACUUAAAUUUUUGUUCUCUUAAAAAUACUUUUAACCGGCUAUGAUGUUGUACACCUUUAAUCCCAACGUGCUCCAGAGGAAGAAGCAGGAAGAUCUCUGAGUUCAAGGUCAGCCUUCUAUCCAGAGUGAGUUUCAGGAUAGCCAGGACUAUAUAGAGAGACCCUUUUUCAAACAAAAGCAAAAAAGCAAAUAAAAUUAUUCUAUUAGUAGCUAAUGUCACAUAUAAAUAAUUAAGAAAUAGUAUAACCAUAUAUGUUAAUAUUUCUGUGGUCUCUUAUGCAGGCACUGAACUUACCUUCAAUUACAACCUAGAGUGUCUUGGGAAUGGAAAAACCGUCUGUAAAUGUGGAGCACCCAACUGCAGUGGCUUCUUGGGUGUGAGGCCAAAGGUACCACUUUUCUAAACUUUUAUAUUAGGAGCAAUGGUAUGUCUUCCCUGUACAAUGGUAGGUACAGUACUAGGGAUGACUUCACUGUAAGAAGCUAUUUCUUUGCAAUAAUGUAACUGGUUAUCAGCAGUGCCACUGACAGUUUAAUGAGUAUGCUCAUGAUCUAGUUGGUGUUGCUGCAGUGUGUAUGCAGUUUGACUCAAUAGGACUCUUAAAGCAUCCUGGAAUGAGGGAGGUCAGACUAUAAAAUAAAAAACCUACAAAGCAGGUUAAUUCCUGGUCUCAGCUCACCCAUUCAUACCUUCUGGUAAGCUAUUUAUAUCCCCGAACUGUGUGUGUGUGUCCUUUUUUUCUUUUUCUUUUCUUGAACAUGUGCCUGUCCUCUUUUCCUUGUCCCUUUACAUGCUGGAAUUACAGGUAUGCAUUCCCAUACCUGCCUGAGUUUUCUUUGUUUUGUUUCUUUGGUUGGUUGGUUUGGGGCUUUUUUGAAACAGAGUUUCUCUGUGAGAGUUUCUCUGUGUAGACUUGGCUCUCAUAACACUCACUUUGUAAACAAGGUUGAUCCACCUGUGUCUGCCUCCAAAGUGCUGGUAGUGCAUGUAUCAUCACCCCCACCAUCUCCUGGCGACAGAUGUUUCUCACUGAAGGUUUAUUCUCCUCCACCAGAUUCAUUUGUGUGCAUACAACACAUGUUUGAGUGCUUGUAUAGGGUAAAGACUCAUACGGUACUCAUGUGAACAUCAGAAUGAUAGACAAGAGCCUUUACUUGCUGAGUCAUUCUUCACCCUCCUUAUUGUUUCCUUUUCUUCAUUCAUUCGAGACCUGGUAUCACUGUAUAGCUCUUGGUAUCCUGGUACUGUGGACUAACCUGUCCUCAAACUUCCAAAUAUCCGUAUGCCUCUGCAUCCCCAAUUCUGGGAUUAAAGGAGUAUCCCACCAUGUCUAGCUUAUCUUAUCCUGCUUUUCUUGAAUACCAUUUCACGUUUUUCUUACUGUUAGGUAGUUUUAUCCUGCUUUGCUUUCUUUUUCCUUUUCUUUUGAGACAGGGUCUCACUUUGUAACCAAGAUAGCCUGUACUUCUCUGUAGACAAGGCUAGCUAGCCUCUUACUUACCAACAUCUGUCUGUCUUGCUUCUUGGUUCUGAAAUUUAAAAGAGUAAACUACCAUGCUCGCCUUAACCAUCAGUUUUUUUUUUUUAAGAUUUAUUUAUUUAUUAUAUGUAAGUACACUGUAGCUGUCUUCAGACACUCCAGAAGAGGGCAUCAGAUCUUGUUACAGAUGGUUGUGAGCCACCAUGUGGUUGCUGGGAUUUGAACUCCAGACCUUCGGAAGAGCAGUCGGGUGCUCUUACCCACUGAGCCAUCUCACCAGCCCAACCAUCAGUUUUUAAUGAUUGUUUAAGUGUACCUGCCAUGGUCUGGCAUUCUACCAUGGGCUCUCAUUCUAACAGUGGUUCUGAAACUUAAAGUUGGUACAAAGAAGUGAUACAGUGACUCCAACUAGGUGUUUCCUAUCAUGUCUGUGAAGUUCAAUAUUAAAGAGUGAAAAAUACAUAGGAACAAAUAGAGAUCUCAUUGUUUUGAGCAAAAUCUAUGAAAAUGAAUAAUAUCCAUUAAUAUUUUACCUUGUUAAAUUAGGAAAAUCUUCUACGUUAAAUUAAGUUUCUUAAUUGAUUCCUAGUUGGUACUGUAUUUCCCAUGUUAUAAUAAUAAUGGAAUUUAUCUCACAGUUAAUAGGGUCAAGUCCUUGUAAGAUGACAUUUAAUAUAUGAAACUGUGAGGAUGAAGUACCAGAACAUAGUUUAGAAGUUGAAAUCAGGGGGCUGGUGAGAUGGCUCAGAGGGUAAGAGCAUUGACUGUUCUUCCGAAGGUCCUGAGUUCAAAUCCCAGCAACCACAUGGUGGCUCACAACCACCUGUAAUGAGAUUUGAUGCCCCCUUCUGGUGCAAAUGAAGACAGCUACAGUGUACUUGUGUAUAAUAAUAAAUAAAUCUUUAAAAAAAAAAAGGUUGAAAUCAUUGUAUCCCAUCAGAGUAGUAGGGGUUUUUUAAUGAACCUUGUUGCUGGCUAGACAAAGGCCUUAUGGGAAGUUGCAGCCAUUAAUCUAAUUUGACCCCACUUGUCUUGUUGAAAAUCAAAAGUGUGAAAUAAUCUGUGCUUUCCUAAUGAAGUGUUUAGUGAAGGUUUGUUGAAUAAACUGAUAACCAUGCAUGUCCACACAGAAAUCUGUAGUUAUAUACACACCAGAGGUUAUUUAAUACUAAUGAAGUGUUUUUCUAUUGUUUCAUUCCAGUUUAAAGACUAUUAUACAAAAGUGUUAAGUAAGUGGAUGUGGUAUUCAUACAACCCUAGCACUAGAGAGAUUGAGGCAGGCUGAAGUGCAAUUUCAAGGCCAGUCUGGAUUGUAUACAAGACCUUAUCUCAAAAAAUAGC
rnacentral:lncRNA from 1 species